AAAGUCCCCGUCCCUUGUGCCCAGGGAGUCUCCUCCCGGUUCUCAAAGUCUGCAGGCCAAGGUUCCUCUCGGCCCCACCGAGCAGUCAGUCAUCUGAACUCACCAUUAAGUAAACGCACGCUUUCGCAAAGGCAGCCACUGCGGGAAGCUCUCCGCUUUCUGACUAGCGUCUGGGCUCCUGUGGGGGUUGACGUGGACGCCUCCCGUCCCAUCUGGACUGCGCCCUGCCCCUCACCGCACAGGAGGCCUUCCCGGCUCCUGGGUCAGCGAAGUCCCACCAGCACCUGGAAGUCGGCCCAGGCCGGGAAGCCGCGUCACAGAGGCUGGUAAAUGUAAAGCCCGGGCUUCCUGCCAGGAGCCAGACAUUUCCUCCGGCCGUGUGGGUACAGUGGCGCGGAGCUGGAAGCCAGAACCCCAGGGAGGAAGAGGCAGUUGUCGCAGGCCCAGGUCUGAGGACAGUGGCAGCUGCACUGUGCUGGUAGCUGUGAAGCCCCACGGUCUCCAGAGGAUUUGCCCCUGACGCAGGGUCAGUGCCGGGGGUCAGCGCGCAACCUCGGGCCUGGACGCGUCAGUGCAGGUGAUUCCUUUUCUGGACGUUCCCACCUGAGGCUGCUGAACUCACCAAUGAGAACCCAUGGACACCUAGGGUCCCUGUCACGUGUCGGUCCAGCUGGGGACGCUCGUGGUGGACGCCGUGAAGGCAGAGGGAAGGGAGCCAGGCUGGGCCAGGGUGGG